GCCCUUCUUCUACGCCCUAAUCCAACGUCCCAUAUUCGACUUCUUCUCUUAAUUUCCAUCUGUAACGCUUGCCAAAGCUAAGCUGCAAUUACUAGGGUUUGAAUUCUGCUCCAUCUUUUCAUCCAUAACGGAUGAAAUCAAUUAGCAGUUUAGCACCACCAUUAAUUACUCCCUUUAAUUCGAACCAAAAUAAUCAAACCAAGUCCUCAUGCGUUACCAAACUAGAAGAUACCCAUUAAUAACACCAUUAUUUCUUCUUACCAAUCACGUUCGACUGCAUAAACCUCCCCAAAUAUUUCUUCUUACCAAUCACGUUCGACUGCAUAAACCUCCCCAAAAGUUAUCUUGCACAGGUUCUCAAUGGUUACCAAUCUCCUUUCUUAAGUUUCCGUGAUUUUGGUAUUUUUCGAGGGAAAUCUCUUUGAUUUUGAUAUUUUUCUUAAUCUUUUUUGUUGAUUUUCUCAUCCUGGGUUUGGAUUAAUAAUAAAGGUAUUGGAGAUGUGUGCUUUUCUCAACAUGGGUUUUGAUUGUUUAUCUAUACAAAGAAGGAUGUCCUGAUUUGGGUGUUUCUGCACUUAUCAGUAGCAACAACAACCUAGAAUGAUCAUCAGCAGAAAAAUGAAAAUGAGAUUUCCCGGAAACUCAUCUAAAGUAAUUGAAAUUUCUAUAUUUUUGUGAAUCUUCACGAGAAUUGAGAAUUUUGGAUUUUAACCGAGGUUUGAAUGAUGUGCUAUUUUUAUUCAAUCUCAAAUUACAUGGCUUUAUGAAAUUUGAAGUUUCUAUGGAGGUUUAUAUGUUGAUGCCAUCUAACUUUGAUAUUUAUUUUUAUAGUUGUCUGCUGUUGUAAUAUUAAUUCUUCCAUACUCUUUAGUUUCGGUACAACAAAUGUCCCCGCUGAAUCACAAUGUUUUAUGAAAAACAUCGGAACUUAAUUUCUACUACCUAGGCUAAAUUAGAGAUUGAUAUCUAAAGUUGAAAAUUGUUAAUGAAACAUUUGCAGAAUGCCGAUGUGGCAGCAUAAUGUUAUAUCUUCCUCUCUGAAGAGUAUGUAUGGCCGCAAGGGAAUUACGAGUUCGUAUGUUAUCCGGCCUAUGCUUACUUGAUGCGAAGGCAUGAGGCAUCACAAGGUACUGGAAAUUUAAUGAUGAUGAAAGGGCUUGAAAAAAGAGGCUCUUCAGGAAAUUUCAGAAGUUGGGCAACUUUUAUACUGCACUUAGUGGUCCUACGGAAAUCAACGGAAACCUUACAGUUGGAAGAGAUAGUUAAACCACCAGUGAAGAUGAUCCAGAUGUUUUUCUUAAAUUGAGUAGGUUCAGGCAUAUAAUGUUCAAGACCAAGGUAAGGUGGUCAUUUGAAGAAUGGUUCGCUGGAAAAAAAAUCGCCCUACUAUAAAUGACUCCCGUGCCUUUUUUGAGUGGAAUAUCGAGCUUAAGCCUAUGGAUUCCACCACAGUGAAAAUGCUGCCCUACAAAAUCUCUCUUACUGCUUUUGAAGAACUGAGUCUAAUACUGCAAACAUAUACCUCCCAUUUUUUAUAGCAUUAGUUUUGUCCCCAAUGUGAUUUUAAUUAUUUUCACUUCUUAUGGUCAAGCAGAUGUGGUCGGCAUUCUUACCACCGGCUUAACAACUCUACAAAAAUUUAAGAGAGCAAAUGGGCAAUGAUCCAUAAUGCGCGACCUAACUCUCAAGAACCUAAGCGUUGUUAAUGUGAAGAUUACUCUGUGGGGUGACUCGACGAGCGAGCUAAGCUGGAACUUGGACCAACAUGGUGUUGAGUAUGCACCGAUUGUGGUUGUGGUAACGGGUACCUACAUAAAAAAAAAUAUCAAGGAAAAUUAUCUUUGUCAUCAACUAAUUCCACCAAGAUCUACUUGAACAUAGAGCUUCCUGAAGUGAUGGAUAUGCGACAAAGGUGCUGCCAAAAAACACCACCCAUCAGAUAACUACCUACCAAAAGAGGGAUUCGCCACUGCCGCAUUUUUGCUAUUGGGCAACCGAAAGAGAAUUUCUGAACUAAUGGCGGCCAAGUGGCCAAAUGGAAUGCCGGGUGUAACAUGAUGGUUGUGCAACCGCUAAUCAUAAUCGGCUUAUGACAGAUGAUGGUUGGUACUAUUGGAAAUGCGGCAAUCGCACAACAAAAUUAGUUGGAGAAGAGGGUGAUCAGUGGGCCACCAAGAGCGAAGCAAAGAUCGAUGAUUCCCUUCAUGCUAUGGUUCGAAGUCCAAGACCCUACCAGCUCUGCUAUUUUUGUUGCAGUUGAUAGUGAGGUGCAAAAGAUCAUCCAAGCAACAACAACAAAAUCUCAUAAACUAGACCUUGAUCCAGCAAUUUCACUCAGUUAAUUGUAUAAACUAGGUGCUUGAGCUCACAAAUAGAAAAAUGCUGUGACCGUUUCGUUUUAGAAAAUAAGUUAACUACCAAGAGCAAUCUCAAAAUCCACAUCUCCUUCAAAUUUCGUUACAAACAGUUUAGCUA